GAUGAACGCUGGCGGCGUGCCUAAUACAUGCAAGUCGAGCGAACAGACGAGGAGCUUGCUCCUCUGACGUUAGCGGCGGACGGGUGAGUAACACGUGGAUAACCUACCUAUAAGACUGGGAUAACUUCGGGAAACCGGAGCUAAUACCGGAUAAUAUAUUGAACCGCAUGGUUCAAUAGUGAAAGACGGCUUUGCCGUCACUUAUAGCUGGAUCCGCGCCGCAUUAGCUAGUUGGUAAGGUAACGGCUUACCAAGGCAACGAUGCGUAGCCGACCUGAGAGGGUGAUCGGCCACACUGGAACUGAGACACGGUCCAGACUCCUACGGGAGGCAGCAGUAGGGAAUCUUCCGCAAUGGGCGCAAGCCUGACGGAGCAACGCCGCGUGAGUGAUGAAGGUCUUCGGAUCGUAAAGCUCUGUUAUUAGGGAAGAACAAAUGUGUAAGUAACUAUGCACGUCUUGACGGUACCUAAUCAGAAAGCCACGGCUAACUACGUG
rnacentral:rRNA from 1 species